rnacentral:rRNA from 1 species
GACGAACGCUGGCGGCGCGCCUAACACAUGCAAGUCGAACGGAGUCAAGAGGAGCUUGCUUUUCUUGACUUAGUGGCGAACGGGUGAGUAACGCGUGAGUAACCUGCCCUGGAGUGGGGGACAACAGUUGGAAACGACUGCUAAUACCGCAUAAGCCCACGGAUCUGCAUGGAUCUGCGGGAAAAGGAUUUAUUCGCUCUAGGAUGGACUCGCGUCCAAUUAGCUAGUUGGUGAGGUAACGGCCCACCAAGGCGACGAUUGGUAGCCGGACUGAGAGGUUGAACGGCCACAUUGGGACUGAGACACGGCCCAGACUCCUACGGGAAGCAGCAGUGGGGGAUAUUGCACAAUGGGGGAAACCCUGAUGCAGCGACGCCGCGUGGAGGAAGAAGGUUUUCGAAUUGUAAACUCCUGUCGUUAGGGACGAUAAUGACGGUACCUAACAAGAAAGCACCGGCUAACUACGUG